UGAGACGUCUCAAGUUGUAAUUGCUGAAAUGGGCUAGAUAAAUGUUUCUAUUAAGAUCAAGGUCGUGUGUAUCUAUGAGAUGCCAAGGGAACAAAGCACUCUCUGGUAGAUGCAGCUGGUGCGAGCUACAACAUAAAACUAUAGUCAAUAGGAGUGACUCGAAUUCUAGUACAAUGUUACUGUUCUGAAGAAAGUGUUGUAGGUCUUUCAGAGGAAAUAUGCAUGAAUGCUGACAUCUGAGCUAUAUUUGUUUACUGACAACUUGUAUACUACGGACUAGAGCUGUGUACCUGUUUUCAUUUGUGAAGUUAUAGUGUACUGCAACAUA